rnacentral:lncRNA from 1 species
UCAUGUUACCAAAAGAAAGCUUCAUGAUGCCAUUCCUACAAUUAAUCAAUGCAUUAGAAGUUGCAAGGAAUGGACGUCCUAAAAUGACUGGAAUUUGAGAUUGUGAAUUCGAAGCCGGAUGUGUGUCCAAUACGAUAAAAUCGACAGGAAAGUAGAACUUGUCUACUUGGACUAAUACAUCCUCGAUAAUCCCCCUUGGAAUUUUAACUGA